rnacentral:snoRNA from 1 species
CUGCAGCCAAUUGGGCAGACCAGCUCCCUCCCCCAUGGUGGCCCAGUGUGCAGUGGGUGCAGACUGCAGCCUCCUCAGUGUACGAGGCCUGUUGCUUGUACCGGUUGCCCUAAGGAACCUUGGAGACAGCU